AUUUACUGCAACACUGAAACUAUGUAGCAUAAUCCUAUGAGGAUCAUAUGUCAAAUGUCAGAAUCAUGGCACAUGAAAACAUAAUGAAACUGACUGUGUAACAGUUGUUAAAGUACUUUGUGAAUUUCACAAUCUUCAUAUAUUAAUAUAGCAUGUUGAUUUGUUAUUAUGCAUUCCUGCAUCCUGGGAAAAGGAGAGUGUGUACUUACGUUUUGCCCUGCGUGCUCAAAUAAUGUUGAUGCACUAUGAGAGGUAGGCACGCUUUUUCUGUCCUCUUUAGAAAAGUUUGAUUCCUUCAAGCACAAAGUCAUACACACAGUGUUUUGUUCAUGAAUAAUGUUGUAUAUUUAGAGUUUACUCAUGAGUGGAUGGUAUUGUUAAGAUGCAAUUGUAAUUUUUAGGAUGAUAUUAACAUGGUUACUAGCUAGCUAAGGUAUUGUAUGUGUGAACAUGGCUAGCUCCUCGACUGAUCCCAGUCCUUUGUAUUGUGCGUCUAUGUUGUAGAAAGAGGCGACAAUGGGCAGAACAUAUUUGUGCUCUACAAAUGUUUUGUCUUUUCUUUUGGAUGCAGAGAUAAUUCUGAUUCAUUAAAACAGCCUGAUCUCCGAAGUCCACGUCUAUAGUCCCAAUCAAUCACACACAACGCAGAGAUACAGCCGUGCAGUACAGUUCCGGUUAUGGGGCCUUCUAGACCCGGAUUCAUCGUUGAUCGACGUCAGCUCAAUCACCGCGGCGCUGCUGCUCUAGAGACUCUGUUUACAUCAUUAAGGUAGAUGAACCUCCUUCUUAUUAACUUUUCCACUCCCAAAGACCCAGCUGAGCCAGCUUCCACUGUUCUUGUGAACAGCAGGGGUCUCGGGCUCAGCCACCGGCCGGCUGCCAGUCUGGCACUGAGGGUUGGCCUCGGAGUGUUCUGGCUUGGUGAUGGACAUCAUAGCAGGAUGCUCAACAUAUCUAAGCCGGACAUCUGUAAUAAGUGGGAGAAGUCAGGCGACUCUGCUCAUGUCACCAUACAGAACAAUCACUAGCUGACAGGGACGCUGGCUGUGGGGAGGAUCCCCUCCCUCUGUGCAGGAACACUGGCCUUUGGGAAGAUC